UUAGGUGGCUAUGGCGUCGGGGAUCCACCCCUUACCAUUCCGAACAGGGAAGUUAAGCCCGAUUGCGCCGAUGGUACUGCAGUAACAUGUGGGAGAGCAGGUAGCCGCCGACU
rnacentral:rRNA from 1 species